CCUACGGGUGGCAGCAGUAGGGAAUAUUGCUCAAUGGGGGAAACCCUGAACCAGCGACGCCGCGUGGAGGAUGAAGGUUUUAGGAUUGUAAACUCCUUUUGUUAGAGAAGAUUAUGACGGUAUCUAACGAAUAAGCACCGGCUAACUCCGUGCCAGCAGCCGCGGGAAUACGGCGGGUGCAAGCGUUACUCGGAAUCACUGGGCGUAAAGAGUGCGUAGGCGGGGUAAUAAGUCAGAUGUGAAAUCCUGUAGCUUAACUACAGAACUGCAUUUGAAACUGUUACUCUGGAGUGUGGGAGAGGUAGGUGGAAUUCUUGGUGUAGGGGUAAAAUGCGUAGAGAUCAAGAGGAAUACUCAUUGCGAAGGCGACCUGCUGGAACAUUACUGACGCUGAUGCACGAAAGCGUGGGGAGCAAACAGGAUUAGAUACCCCUGUAGUC
rnacentral:rRNA from 1 species